CCAACCUAGACAGCAUAUUAAAAAGCAGAGACAUUACUUUGCCAACAACGGUCUGUUUAGCCAAAGCUAUGGUUUUUCCAGUAAUCACGUAUGGAUGUGAGAGUUAGUUAGACUAUAAAAAAAGCUGAGCGCUGAAGAAUUGAUGCUUUUGAAUUGUGGUGUUGGAGAAGACUCUUGAGAGUCCCUUGGACUGCAAGGAGAUCCAACCAGUCUAUCCUAAAGGAAAUCAGUCCUGAAUAUUCACUGGAAGUACUGAUGUCAAAGCUGAAACUCCAAUACUUUGGCCACCUGAUGCCAAGAACUAAUUGGAAAAGACCCUGAUGCUGGGAGAGAUUGAAGGCAGGAGGAGAAGGGGACGACAGAGGAUGAGAUGGUUGAAUGGCAUCACCGACACAAUGGACAUGAGUUUGACCUCCAGCCCCUACAGCGGUGUGCUCUAAUAACAGAAGCCAAGAGGAGAGAGGCUCAGAAACCGUUCCAGCCAAGGAAUCUCCAGUACCUAACUCUCUAGGAGCAUCAACCGGGAUCAAGUAAAGGAGCACACACAGGAUUGAGACUGGAAAACAUGCUUCUGACAUGGACUCUCCUCUUGUUCUUCCUAAUGGACCAGCCUUCCUUCUCUGAGGCCCAAGACCUCCUCCGUCACCAAACUGACAGGCCCAGAACGAAGAUCUCUGCCAACCACAAAUAUUACUGUGACAUGAUGAUGAAGGCUCGAGGGCUGGCCACUGACAAGGGCUGUAAGAAGAACAAGAUCUUUGUCCACAGUGUGUCACCCAGCACUCGUGGCCUUUGCGAGAGUCCAGCUGUGACGUGUAUGAAGUCGUCUGAGUUUUACAGCUGCCACCUCAUCACCUUCAAAGUUACUCAGUGUAAUCUCUACCCAGAGGCUGUGCCCCCGCACUGUCACUAUAAAGGUGUCACUUUCCAGAUGGAUGUGAAAAUAGUCUGUGCGGGCAAACGUCCAAUUCGUUUGGAAGAAUAGCCUCUGUAGUCACUCACCAUGGCUGUCUGCUGCUCUGCUUCACCCCAUCUCAUUCCCUCUGUGGUGUCCUGCUCAACCCCAGCUGGUGUGGUUUCCUGCAGAGUCUGGGCUCCCACCGUUCCCUGAGUCCUAGCCCCAACGCCUGCUCUCUCACUGUCAGUCCUGUGGAUUUGUGUUAGAGAGAUGGUGGAGGCAGAGGGCAGGUGGGCUUGUCAUCAGCACCCUUUGGGACUUUUGGUUCUUGUCCUGUUUAAUUGCUUUGUCCUGGCUGCAGAGGGAGAGAAAGCUAACGCUAAAUUCUUUCCUGGGGCUCGGUCCCUCAAUCCCUAGGGUGGAAGAGAAAGUCAGAGCGAGUUGUGGGCAGUUAUGCCCCAGGGAUCUGCUGAGCCCAUUUGCCCCUAAACCUGCUGCUUUAAUAAAACUCUCAAGGGCAUUGACGAUGAAUUGUUCUGUGUGUUUGAGUUUCCAGUCCCCUCUCAUCCAAGGGGGUGGGUGAUGGAAAGGGAUUUGGAGGGAAAACCUCCUGUGCAGAAACAAACUCCAGAAGUGUUAAACACCAGCAGUGGGUAGGUGAAAGUGUGAAAAUGGGCAUGCAUUUACACAUAUACAUAUUAUAUUAUAUAUUAUAAUAUAUGAUUAUAUUCAACACAAUGAAUUAGGAACAUGACUUGGUACAAACUUUUGGGGAGGUAACAUAGUAGUAUCUAUUAGUAUUAAAACUAUGUAACAAUAUUUUAUAAUUAUCAAACUUGCUAAGAGACUGUAUCUUAAUUAUUUCAAUCACUAAAAAGAAAGGAUAAUUAUGUGACAUGAAAGAGGUGCAGAUUAUCAAUACAAUGAAAAUCAUUAUAAUAUAUAAAUGUAUCAAAUCAACAUAUUGUAUACCUUAAAUUUACAAAUGUUAUAUGUCAAAUAACAUUUUAACAAAAAACUCACAAAACCUCAUAUGUAUGAAGGAUGCUUAUAUGAGUGUUCUGUGCACUUACUUUAAUAAGAAUGUUCCUUCAGGGACUGGACAUAUUAAUAAUAGCUCUUCUCUAAUGGAUUUAAAGACCAUUUAAUAAAGAUUUAUAAAUAAAUAAAAACUAUAUAUCCCCUUUGAUAUUAAAAAACAAACUUUCAAAUCUAUCCUUGAAUUUCC
ensembl:lncRNA